AAGUCCUUGUGUUUCUUCAGUUGGUGCUCUGUCAUUGUUUGUGUCACCUCCAUGCUGUCUCACUGCACCAUUCCUAUGUGUACCUUCCUGAGAACAGAUUCACACUGUGCAGUUUGAACCCCGCACUCAGAUGAAAGAACAGGUUAACCUUGGCUACGAGGGGAGAAAAUAAACGGUGUGGAUAAAGAGAACUCCACAUCGCCUCCCUCUCCAUAUCCUCAUGAUGCCUGUCACAGUCCAUCCCUGCUGGACCACAUUCUAUGGAUACAUCUCAAUGAGUGUCUCUCUGCUGUGAGGGGAAGCAGGGUACCUCGCACUGACUGUGGCCAAUAAAUCAUUCUCCCCUUCCUUAUCUAAAGCCAAGUGUGCCGAUGACACGCUGUGGGAACACAAUCAGAUGAAAAGGAGACAUCGAGCAUGUAGGGCCAGCGAGGGGUUUGAUGGGAACCAUGCAGGGGGAAGGAUAUGGGAGGGGGAAGAGAUCACAGGGAUGAGAUCCAUGCCUGCGGUGAGUUAAAAGAGUCACACUCCCAAAGCUAGGCCCUCCCUGCCCUGGUCGAGCUGUGGUCAGACAAGAUUGAGAAUUUUAACUAAGAUGGUGGAUGGUGCUUUCCGCAUGAUAAUACUUUGCCUUGCCUUAUGUCCAAGUGGUUUUGCUAUUCAGGGAUGUUCUUUUUAAGGUAGAUAAGCUAUUUUACAUUAUCCUGCAUUGAUACUUGUCCUCCCUGUUGGAACUAACUCCAUGACCUUGGCGUAAGGAGUAGCAGGAUCUUCUAAUUAAUCAGCAAAGGCAAAGGAACAGAAGAACACUUAUUCUAAGUUGCCCAGUAUUCGGUCACACAGUGUUAAAUAGCUGUGUAACUGGUCAGCAUGUGCCUUGAUAUUUUCUCUCUAUCUCCUGUUUAAAGAAGGGAAGUUAGUUGGGCAUGGGACCAAGACUAAGCACUGUCUGUUAUGUGCCCCAGCCCUGAUAAAUCACAUUUCUCUCUCAUUAGUGCAGUAAACUGCCCUUGCCAGCACUCUGUGCGUUUCAAGAAAAGAAAAAAACCCAGCAGAAGCUAAGUAUCAUCCCCUCUUUAGCCAGAGGAGGAAGUCUCUGCAGAGUCCUUCCAAACAAUCUGGAGGCCAGUGAACUUAAGCCAUCAGUGCCAGUCAAACUUGGCUCGACCAAUUAUUAUUUAAUUAGACAGUCUCUGGAUGGAUGAGAAAUGUUUUGAGAGCCAAGAGUCUAGAGCGC
ensembl:lncRNA